AUAUCAAUAAGCGGAGGAAAAGAAACCAACAGGGAUUGCCUUAGUAACGGCGAGUGAAGCGGCAAAAGCUCAAAUUUGAAAUCUGGCGUAAGCCCGAGUUGUAAUUUGAAGAAGGUAAUUUUUGAUAAGAUGUUUACAUAAGUUCCUUGGAACAGGACGCCAGAGAGGGUGAGAGUCCCGUCUUGUAAACCGCUCUUUUCUUGUAAAAUGCUUUCGAAGAGUCGAGUUGUUUGGGAAUGCAGCUCUAAGUGGGUGGUAAAUUCCAUCUAAAGCUAAAUAUUGGCGAGAGACCGAUAGCGAACAAGUACAGUGAUGGAAAGAUGAAAAGAACUUUGAAAAGAGAGUGAAAAAGUACGUGAAAUUGUUGAAAGGGAAGGGUUUUAGGGGAGACUUGGGGGGUAAUGAACAAUUUUCCUUCGGGAAGGUGCACUCGUUGCUCUCUGGGCCAAUAUGGGUUUGUGGAGUGAGAUAAAAGGGUAGGAAUGUGGCCAUUCGUGGUGUUAUAGCCUGCCCCAAUAUCACUACCGUAGACCAAGGAACGCGAUUCUAGGAUAUUGGCGUAAUCCCCUUAAACCAC
rnacentral:rRNA from 1 species